UUUCGUGUUCGAAAUGUAAGAAUUAUAAAAAUAAAUAAAUAAACUUUUUGAAAAAAUAGGCUUCAGAUUCUGUUCAUGGAAAUUUUGUUUAGGCAAGCUUGGCACCGAUUAGACCAUUCGAAAGAAACAAGCGCAAAUCUGACCACCCAGUUAGGAAGGGCGUCUACACCACGUGACUUUAAAAUCGAAUUCUGAGGACUUGAUAAUAGGAAGUCUCAUCUUGCUCAUAUGACUUUGGCCACUCUCUUUCCUCACCUACAAGCUGCUCAGAGAUCAAUCUACAUCAAAUGUUCAUCGAAGCGCAAUACAUAAAGACAGCCGGGAAACAGCUUGCAUAAUGCAAACUAAUCGCGGCAUAUAGUAAUAGUUGGAGUUGGAGAAAAAUUAUUUCCAACACUUCACUAACACAGAUAUAGCUAACACGACUUCCUUCCCGGUGAGCAAACAGAUACAAAAUCACUCACCAAAACGCAGAUGCAGUACUUCAGACUCAAAUGUAGGGAAUUCCGGAUAUUUGCUUUAAUAAAUUUUUAAGUUGAAUAAAAGAG